rnacentral:rRNA from 1 species
UACGGGGGGAGCAAGCGUUGUUCGGAUUUACUGGGCGUAAAGGGCGCGUAGGCGGCGUGACAAGUCACUUGUGAAAUCUCCGGGCUUAACCCGGAGCGGUCAAGUGAUACUGUCGUGCUAGAGUGCGGAAGGGGCUACUGGAAUUCUCGGUGUAGCGGUGAAACGCGUAGAUAUCGAGAGGAACACCUGCGGCGAAGGCGGGUAGCUGGGCCGACACUGACGCUGAUGCGCGAAAGCCAGGGGAGCGAACGGG